GACAUUGUCAGAAACCGCCUAAAAAACCGCCCAAAAACAUUAACCCAUCAUAAUUAUUUUCUAUUUUUUUUAAUACAUUAAGCACCCUUUCAUUCUAAUGGACACUUAAGCAUUGAAAAAUUAAAUAAAUAAGUCUUUUAACGUUUAUUCUAUAAUACUAUUACAACUUCCGGACGUUUUGGUGCGUGGCAUGGUCUAAAACCUAUCAAGUUCCAUAAUUUUUGCCGAUAAAAUCUGUAUAGAUGACCCACGCUGAACUGUCCCGCCAAACUCAAUGACAGGGGGGCGCUACCAUCGUUCAACUAUAUGGUUUCCAACAUGGCAAAAAUCUGAACCAGCGAUCCGGUAUUGACGGUGGCGCCCCACUGUCAAUGUCAUCGACAGGACAGUCCAGUAUUUUGGAACUAUACGAGGCAUUACCGUACUUUAUUGCUGGGAGUCCAUGUAUAGUGAUGUUCCUGCGGCCAUCAUAGACAAUAAAAUAUCGAUUUUGAAAAAAAAAUAAAUCGAUUAAACUGCUUUGAAGACUAGAUUUGCGUUAAAAGCUAAAAAGAUAUUGACAGUUUGACACUAUUACAAGAAGAUAUCUAAAGUGUCCAACUGGUCGAAGGUCGUAAAUAAAAUAAAAAUAAUUAGGACCAUAAACUGAUAUUCAUGGUAUCAUAACUGUAAAAGUGUCAGAAUCCGAUGUUGAAUCCAAUGCCAGUUGAAGUGUGAGAAACAUAUAUAUUUUUUUUUUAUGUGACAGGAGGCAAAUGAGCAGACGGAUCACCUGAUAUCAACCUAGUAUAGUUGCCAGUCUCUCAUAAUCUAUGCCAAUGAGGGUUUUCGCGAUUGAAAAAUCCGCCAGAUGGCAAUACGUAGACGUGAGGUCCAAAUGCUGCAUGAUUGGUUAUUUUUGACAUGACAUUGACAGAUAUCCACCAAUCAUGCAGCAUUUGGACCUCGCGUCUACGUAUUGCCAUCUCGCGGAUUUUUCAAUCGCGAAAACCCUCAUUCAUAGCACAUGUAUAAUAAUAGACCAAAUGAACUUUUAUAGAUUGUGAAAGAGAAGAUAAAGAUUUUAUUAUUUUAUUAAAAUCUUGCCACGAGGUAGUUUUUCAGUAGAAACCAGGAUUGGAUAAUCGCUACAGGCAAGUAUCAGAACAUUUUAUAAAUAUUUUUAAUCGAUUAUAUCCAUGUGAAUCGUUUUAAUAAAUUGUCAUUUUACUUUUUCAAUUAAAACUUUUUCAAUCCCUAGUCUUGUCAAACUGUCAUAAUGUCAACAAAUUAUAAAUGUCACGUCAGUUGACUCAAUUUCAGUCUUCUGUGCGUUUAUUGUAUUUUUAUUUCAAUGAAAUAGUGCUAAAGGGUUAGUACUAAAACUGAAAGCCUUUUUUCAGAAAGAAAACCAAUGUGGUGCCCUUAUUAUUCAUGCUGUUUGAAAGUUACAAGUAGGUAUUAUUAAGCUGAAGAGUUUGUUUAGUGUCAAAGACUGUCACACAGUGUAACUUAAAUUGGCAUAUUAUGAUAAUGAACAUAAAAACUUAAAUAAAUAUUUAUGUUAAUAUUU